UUGAUGGUGUGUGCAAAUUCCAUAUCAUAAAUUCAUUGAAAUAUAUGUCAUUUUUGAAUCAAAAUAGGACUUAACCAAUUGUGAGGAAGCUUUCCAAUGUACACUAAAAUGCGGGAAACCAAGCAUUAUUUCAACUCAUUCUUAUCAUGCUAAAUCAUGCAUUAAUCUAUUUUUGUGUGAAAAUUUUGAAAAUGAUAGAGGCAUUGUUUGUUAUGAGAAAAACCACUUGACCAAAAAGUUUGAAUCAACUAACCUUGUGAGGAGUGAUCCUUAGUUAACCCCAUUUGAGCUUACUUUAGGAUUCAUUUGAUUGAUAAGUGUAAAAUCAAUUGAAAAUUUUGUGAAUAAAUGAAUCCUAACUUCUUUUGUGUCAAUUGAACCCUCAAACCGAGUUGUUUGCAAAUUUUGCCUUUUGCUUAUGUCUAAGUAGGGAGCAUUAUUGAAUAAAUUUGGUUUUGGAAUCUAAAGUUGGGGAGAGUAAAGUAAAAAGAUUUGAUUAGAAACUUGGAAAAGUGAGUUUUUAUGAAAGGGUGAAAAUAUGAAAAGAAACAAGAAAAAGAAAUCACCCUUGAAACCAUAGAGCAAAGAAAAAGAAAAGAUAGAAAAAAAACAAAGAAAAUGCUCAUGGUUGUGUGGAUGUAAAAAAAAAGAAAAAGACGGGGAUCAAAGAAAUAGAGUUGAAUAUAUGGAAAUGCUCC
rnacentral:lncRNA from 1 species